rnacentral:misc_RNA from 1 species
UUUCCGUAGGUGAACCUGCGGAAGGAUCAUUAAAUAGUACCACAGAUUACAUAUGCAAAUAUGACAAUCUACUACUAUAUACCAUUCCGAGUACUCUUUUUCCAUGUUGCUUCCGCGAGGCAGUCACUUCAAGUGGCCGUUUGCUCCGGAUCUCCCCUCUUGGAGAGCCGGCUGUGGGCGAGAUUUCCUUGCGAAAGGUCAAUUACAAAUCCAAUUAUGUUUUUAUUUUGUGUCUGAAUAGAUUUUUUUUUUCUUUCUUUUUUUAAUUAAUAAAUACAAAAAAAAUAAAAUAAAAUACAAAACUUUCAACAACGGAUCUCUUGGUUCUC